rnacentral:tRNA from 1 species
GCGGAUGUGGCGAAGUUGGUAGACGCGUCAGUUUCAGGUACUGAUGCCUUCGGGCGGGCAAGUUCGAAUCUUGUCAUCCGCACCA